CGCGUAGGCGGCCUGUUAAGUCUGGAGUGAAAGUCCUGCUUUCAAGGUGGGAAUUGCUUUGGAUACUGGCGGGCUGGAGUGCAGGAGAGGUUAGUGGAAUUCCCGGUGUAGCGGUGAAAUGCGUAGAGAUCGGGAGGAACACCAGUGGCGAAGGCGACUAACUGGACUGUAACUGACGCUGAGGCGCGAAAGUGUGGGGAGCAAACAGGAUUAGAUACCCUGGUAGUCCACACGGUAAACGAUGAAUGCUAGGUGUAGGGGGUAUCGACCCCUUCUGUGCCGGAGUAAACACAAUAAGCAUUCCGCCUGGGGAGUACGGCCGCAAGGUUGAA
rnacentral:rRNA from 1 species